rnacentral:rRNA from 1 species
AGUGAACGCUGGCGGUAGGCCUAACACACGCAAGUCGAACGGCAGCACAGGAGAGCUUGCUCUCUGGGUGGCGAGUGGCGGACGGGUGAGGAAUACAUCGGAAUCUACUCUGUCGUGGGGGAUAACGUAGGGAAACUUACGCUAAUACCGCAUACGACCUACGGGUGAAAGCAGGGGACCUUCGGGCCUUGCGCGAUUGAAUGAGCCGAUGUCGGAUUAGCUAGUUGGCGGGGUAAAGGCCCACCAAGGCGACGAUCCGUAGCUGGUCUGAGAGGAUGAUCAGCCCGACUGGAAAUGAGACACGGUCCAGACUCCUACGGGAGGCAGCAGUGGGGAAUAUUGGACAAUGGGCGCAAGCCUGAUCCAGCCAUACCGCGUGGGUGAAGAAGGCCUUCGGGUUGUAAAGCCCUUUUGUUGGGAAAGAAAUCCAGCUGGCUAAUACCCGGUUGGGAUGACGGUACCCAAAGAAUAAGCACCGGCUAACUUCGUGCCAGCCGCCGCCGUAA